AUGCCAGGGGAUCUGCACACUCGGCGCGAGAUCAUUCGCUGCAGUAGCCCCGGACCGCUCUACGAGUUCAACGCCAACACCAACCCCACCACCUCCCCGUUUGGACUCGUCGCCACCACCACCACAUUGGAGCUAUGGCAUCGUCGCUUAGGACAUCCCGGUCGUGACUCUAUGUCACAUUUAUCUUCAGAAUUUGCUAUUCCAUGCAAUAAAAGUACUCAAGUGUGUCAUGCAUGCCAACUUGGCAAGCACGUGCGUUUACCUUUUUCUAGAUCAUCAACAGUUUGUGUUGCUCCGUUUCAAUUACUUCAUUGCGAUUUAUGGACCUUACCUGUUGCUACUAAUUUUGGUUUCAAAUAUUACCUUGUCAUUGUUGAUGACUUCUCUCAUUUUAUGUGGACGUUUCCCCUUCACCGGAAAUCCGACACAUGUGAUAUUCUCAUCAAUUUUGUUGCAUACGCACGCACACAGUUCAACCUUCCCGUCAUAUCCUUCCAGACCGAUAAUGGUACCGAGUUCGUCAACUCUACCUUCAUCGAGUUCCUUGCACGCAACGGUAUACACCUCCGCAUGUCCUGCCCAUACACUUCCCCUCAAAACGGCAAGGCCGAACGAGCACUUCGCACGCUCAACAACAUUACCCGCACCUUGCUGUUCCAAGCUUAUAUGCCCCCUGCGUACUGGGCCGAGGCCCUUGCCGUCGCAACCUUCUUGCUAAACCGUCGUCCAAGCCAAGCCUUGGCCUUCCGGAUCCCGUAUACCCUCCUCUACCAAAACCCCCCCUCCUUCUCCGACCUACGUGUUUUCGGGUGCCUAUGCCCAACUAGUCCGCCACGGCACCUCAUAAACUCGCCCCUCGCUCCACCACAUGCGUCUUUCUUGGGUACCCUGCAUCGCAUCGCGGCUAUCGGUGCCUCGACUUAA
rnacentral:rRNA from 1 species